GCCUUCUUAGCUAAGUGGUAUAGCGCUGGUCUCGUAUGCGUAACGAUUGUUAUAUCUAACGGGAGGUGACCAGAGGUAACCAGAGGUCGGGAGUUCAAUUCUCUCAGGAGGCA
rnacentral:tRNA from 1 species